rnacentral:snRNA from 1 species
AUGCUAACUUCAGCAGCACAUAUACUAAAAUCGGAAUGAUACAGAAAAAACUAGCAUGGCCCCUGUGCAAGGAUGACACACAAAUCAUGAAGCAUUGCAUACUUUU